GAUGAACGCUGGCGGCGUGCCUAAUACAUGCAAGUCGAGCGAACAGACGAGGAGCUUGCUCCUCUGACGUUAGCGGCGGACGGGUGAGUAACACGUGGAUAACCUACCUAUAAGACUGGGAUAACUUCGGGAAACCGGAGCUAAUACCGGAUAAUAUAUUGAACCGCAUGGUUCAAUAGUGAAAGACGGUUUUGCUGUCACUUAUAGAUGGAUCCGCGCCGCAUUAGCUAGUUGGUAAGGUAACGGCUUACCAAGGCGACGAUGCGUAGCCGACAUGAGAGGGUGAUCGGCCACACUGGAACUGAGACACGGUCCAGACUCCUACGGGAGGCAGCAGUAGGGAAUCUUCCGCAAUGGGCGAAAGCCUGACGGAGCAACGCCGCGUGAGUGAUGAAGGUCUUCGGAUCGUAAAACUCUGUUAUUAGGGAAGAACAAAUGUGUAAGUAACUAUGCACGUCUUGACGGUACCUAAUCAGAAAGCCACGGCUAACUACGUG
rnacentral:rRNA from 1 species